rnacentral:tRNA from 1 species
UCCCAUGUGGUCUAGUGGUAAGGAUUCCUGGCUCUCACCUAGGUGGCCUGGGUUCGACUACCGGCAAGGGAA